rnacentral:rRNA from 1 species
GAUCCUGGCUCAGGAUGAACGCUAGCUACAGGCUUACCACAUGCAGGUCGAGGGGCAGCAUGGUCUUAGCUUGCUAAGGCCGAUGGCGACCGGCGCACGGGUGAGUAACGCGUAUCCAACCUGCCUUACACUCUUGGACAGCCUUCUGAAAGGGAGAUUAAUACAAGAUGUUAUCAUGAGUAAGCAUUUUCACGUGAUUAAAGGUUUACCGGUGUAAGAUGGGGAUGCGUUCCAUUAG